rnacentral:rRNA from 1 species
GAAACUCGAGCUAAUACCGCAUACGCCCUACGGGGGAAAGCAGGGGAUCUUCGGACCUUGCACUAUUGGAUGAGCCUAAGUCGGAUUAGCUAGUUGGUGAGGUAAAGGCUCACCAAGGCGACGAUCCGUAGCUGGUUUGAGAGGACGAUCAGCCACACUGGGACUGAGACACGGCCCAGACUCCUACGGGAGGCAGCAGUGGGGAAUAUUGGACAAUGGGGGCAACCCUGAUCCAGCAAUGCCGCGUGUGUGAAGAAGGCCUGCGGGUUGUAAAGCACUUUCAGUAGAGAAGAAAAGCUUACGGUUAAUAACCGUGGGUCUUGACGUUACCUACAGAAGAAGCUCCGGCUAACUCCGUGCCAGCAGCCGCGGUAAUACGGAGGGAGCGAGCGUUAAUCGGAAUUACUGGGCGUAAAGCGCGCGUAGGCGGCUUUGUAAGUCGGAUGUGAAAGCCCUGGGCUCAACCUGGGAAUGGCAUUCGAAACUGCAUGGCUAGAGUAUGGUAGAGGGAAGUGGAAUUUCCGGUGUAGCGGUGAAAUGCGUAGAUAUCGGAAGGAACACCAGUGGCGAA